GGGCAUGUGGCGGAAUGGUAGACGCGCUGGUUUUAGGUACCAGUGAGGCAACUCGUGGAGGUUCAAGUCCUCUCAUGCCCA
rnacentral:tRNA from 2 species